rnacentral:rRNA from 1 species
AUGCUUAAAAGCAUGGUGACCAGAGACAGUAAAAGCCCUUACUCCUCCCCUGCAAUUUUAGUGAAAAAGAAAGAUCUCUCAUGGAGACUUUGCAAUGAUUUCAAAAAGGUCAAUGCUCAGACAAUUAAAAACAAGUACCCCAUCCCUGUGAUUGAGGACUUGUUAGAUGAACUGCAUGGAGCAACUGUUUUCACUAAACUUGAUCUCAGAAGUGGGUACCACCAGAUCAGAAUGAAGGAAGAGGAUAUUGAGAAAACUGCUUUUAGCACUCACUGUGGACACUAUGAAUACUUGGUCAUGCCCUUUGGCCUAACAAAUGCUCCUGCACCUUUCCAAAUGCUCAUGAAUACUAUUUUGGCCAAGUAUCUCAGAAAAUUUGUCCUAGUGUUCUUCGAUGACAUUCUGAUAUUUAGUAAAAAUAUGAAAGAACACUUAAUUCAUUUGCAACAAGUGUUUGAAACACUGAAAGAACAUCAGCUGUACCUGAAAGCUAGCAAGUGUGUCUUUGCCCAGCCUCAGGUGGAGUACUUGGGCCAUGUUAUCAGGGCUGAUGGAGUGGCCACUGACCCAGUCAAAAUUCAGGCAGUAACACAAUGGCCAGAACCUGAAAAUCUUACUCAGCUGAGGAGCUUCUUGGGCCUGACUGUAUUACAGAAGGUUUGUAAAAAACUAUGGAAUCAUCUGCAGACCACUGUUUAA